GAUGAACGCUGGCGGCGUGCCUAAUACAUGCAAGUCGAACGAAACUUCUUUAUCACCGAGUGCUUGCACUCACCGAUAAAGAGUUGAGUGGCGAACGGGUGAGUAACACGUGGGCAACCUGCCCAAAAGAGGGGGAUAACACUUGGAAACAGGUGCUAAUACCGCAUAACCAUAGUUACCGCAUGGUAACUAUGUAAAAGGUGGCUAUACUACCGCUUUUGGAUGGGCCCGCGGCGCAUUAGCUAGUUGGUAGGGUAAAGGCUUACCAAGGCAAUGAUGCGUAGCCGAAUUGAGAGGUUGAUCGGCCACAUUGGGACUGAGACACGGCCCAAACUCCUACGGGAGGCAGCAGUAGGGAAUCUUCCGCAAUGGGCGAAAGCCUGAUGGAGCAACGCCGCGUGGGUGAAGAAGGUCUUCGGAUCGUAAAACCCUGUUGUUAGAGAAGAAAGUGCGUGAGAGUAACUGUUCACGUUUCGACGGUAUCUAACCAGAAAGCCACUGCUAACUACGUG
rnacentral:rRNA from 1 species